GACGAACGCUGGCGGCGUGCUUAACACAUGCAAGUCGAACGAAGAGCGAUGGACGUUUGCUUCUUUCCGUCUUCGUGGCGCACGUGUGAGUAACGCGUAAUCCACCUGUCUUUCAGAGGGGUACAACAGUUGGAAACGACUGCUAAUCCCGCAUACUAUCCAAUCUCGUCAUCCGGUCUUGAUGAACGGUUUCCUCUAUUUAUAAGCUUUCACUCACGCCGGGGAUUGCGGCUGAUUAGCUAGUUGGUUGGGUAACGGCCCAACAAUGGGAUGAUCAGGAGGCGGUCUGGGAGGAGGAACCGCCCACAUGGGAAUGGGAAACGGCCCCGACUCCUAAGGGGAGGAGCAGGGAGGAAUCUUCCGGAAUGGACGAAAGGCUGAAGGGGGAAAGCCGGGGGAGGGAUGAAGGGCUUCGGGUUGUAAAGCUCCGUUAAUCGGGAAGAAAGGUAUUUGUGAGAAUAGAGCGAGGAUUUGACGGUACCGGAAUAGAAAGCCACGGCUAACUACGUG
rnacentral:rRNA from 1 species